rnacentral:rRNA from 1 species
UACGUAGGGGGCAAGCGUUGUCCGGAAUCAUUGGGCGUAAAGAGCGUGUAGGCGGCCAGAAAAGUCCGCUGUGAAAACUCGAGGCUCAACUUCGAGCUGUCGGUGGAAACUUUCUGGCUAGAGUCCGGAAGAGGAGAAUGGAAUUCCUGGUGUAGCGGUGAAAUGCGCAGAUAUCAGGAGGAACACCGGUGGCGAAGGCGGUUCUCUGGGCCUUACCUGACGCUGAGGAGCGAAAGCAUGGGGAGCAAACAGG